GUAUAUCACAGGUACACAGUAUAUUGCAUGAAGUACACAGUAUAUCACAGGUACACAGUAUAUCGCAUGAAGUAUACAGUACAUCACAGGUACACAGUAUAUCACAUGAAGUAUACAGUACAUCACAGGUACACAGUAUAUCGCAUGAAGUAUACAGUACAUCACAGGUACACAGUAUAUCGCAUGAAGUAUACGGUACAUCACAGGUACACAGUAUAUCACAUGAAGUAUACAGUGCAUCAUAGGUACACAGUAUAUUGGAUGAAGCAUACAGUUGAUCACAGGUACACAGUAUAUCGCAUGAAGUAUACAGUGCAUCACUGGUACACUGUAUAUCGCAUGAAGUAUACAGUAUA